rnacentral:rRNA from 1 species
GGUGGUGGGGGAGUACGGCCGGGCUAACGCCCCGGGGUAAUACCGCAUACGGUUGCCGAGGGGAGUCCCUUGGCAAAGAAACCUCCGGGGCACAGAGAGGGGCUCGCGGCCUAUCAGCUAGUUGGUGAGGUAAUGGCUCACCAAGGCGAUGAUCGGUAUCCGGCCUGAGAGGGCGCACGGACACACUGGAACUGAAACACGGUCCAG